rnacentral:ncRNA from 1 species
AAUAUGGGCAAACCUAUCGAAAGGUAGGGACGCAAAGCCAUGGGUCUAAAGACAGAAUGUCGAUGAUUGCCAGGUUGCCGA